rnacentral:rRNA from 1 species
CAGUCGCCGCGGUAAUACGUAGGUGGCAAGCGUUGUCCGGAAUUAUUGGGCGUAAAGGGCUCGCAGGCGGUUUCUUAAGUCUGAUGUGAAAGCCCCCGGCUCAACCGGGGAGGGUCAUUGGAAACUGGGAAACUUGAGUGCAGAAGAGGAGAGUGGAAUUCCACGUGUAGCGGUGAAAUGCGUAGAGAUGUGGAGGAACACCAGCGGCGAAGGCGACUCUCUGGUCUGUAACUGACGCUGAGGAGCGAAAGCGUGGGGAGCGAACAGGAUUAGAUACCCCAGUAGUCCCUGUCUCUUAUAA